CACGACAAACACGAAAACGAUUGGCGAAAAAAAUAAGACAGAUGACGUGGCAAAUUGAGCCAAUAGGCUCCAAAUUGCGGCUCGAUGUUUUCGAUAGUUUGAGGCAGAGAUUUGAGUUUUCAGAAGUGCGAGCAUCAGAAAAAUAUUUG
ensembl:ncRNA F39E9.23 ncRNA